GGGUUGUGAGGUUAAGCGACUAAGCGUACACGGUGGAUGCCCUGGCAGUCAGAGGCGAUGAAGGACGUGCUAAUCUGCGAUAAGCGUCGGUGAGGUGAUAUGAACCGUUAUAACCGGCGAUUUCCGAAUGGGGAAACCCAGUGUGUUUCGACACACUAUCAUUAACUGAAUCCAUAGGUUAAUGAGGCGAACCGGGGGAACUGAAACAUCUAAGUACCCCGAGGAAAAGAAAUCAACCGAGAUUCCCCCAGUAGCGGCGAGCGAACGGGGAGGAGCCCAGAGCCUGAAUCAGUGUGUGUGUUAGUGGAAGCGUCUGGAAAGGCGCGCGAUACAGGGUGACAGCCCCGUACACAAAAAUGCACAUAUUGUGAGCUCGAUGAGUAGGGCGGGACACGUGGUAUCCUGUCUGAAUAUGGGGGGACCAUCCUCCAAGGCUAAAUACUCCUGACUGACCGAUAGUGAACCAGUACCGUGAGGGAAAGGCGAAAAGAACCCCGGCGAGGGGAGUGAAAAAGAACCUGAAACCGUGUACGUACAAGCAGUGGGAGCCUCUUAAUGGGGUGACUGCGUACCUUUUGUAUAAUGGGUCAGCGACUUAUAUUCUGUAGCAAGGUUAACCGAAUAGGGGAGCCGAAGGGAAACCGAGUCUUAACUGGGCGUUAAGUUGCAGGGUAUAGACCCGAAACCCGGUGAUCUAGCCAUGGGCAGGUUGAAGGUUGGGUAACACUAACUGGAGGACCGAACCGACUAAUGUUGAAAAAUUAGCGGAUGACUUGUGGCUGGGGGUGAAAGGCCAAUCAAACCGGGAGAUAGCUGGUUCUCCCCGAAAGCUAUUUAGGUAGCGCCUCGUGAAUUCAUCUCCGGGGGUAGAGCACUGUUUCGGCAAGGGGGUCAUCCCGACUUACCAACCCGAUGCAAACUGCGAAUACCGGAGAAUGUUAUCACGGGAGACACACGGCGGGUGCUAACGUCCGUCGUGAAGAGGGAAACAACCCAGACCGCCAGCUAAGGUCCCAAAGUCAUGGUUAAGUGGGAAACGAUGUGGGAAGGCCCAGACAGCCAGGAUGUUGGCUUAGAAGCAGCCAUCAUUUAAAGAAAGCGUAAUAGCUCACUGGUCGAGUCGGCCUGCGCGGAAGAUGUAACGGGGCUAAACCAUGCACCGAAGCUGCGGCAGCGACGCUUAUGCGUUGUUGGGUAGGGGAGCGUUCUGUAAGCCUGCGAAGGUGUGCUGUGAGGCAUGCUGGAGGUAUCAGAAGUGCGAAUGCUGACAUAAGUAACGAUAAAGCGGGUGAAAAGCCCGCUCGCCGGAAGACCAAGGGUUCCUGUCCAACGUUAAUCGGGGCAGGGUGAGUCGACCCCUAAGGCGAGGCCGAAAGGCGUAGUCGAUGGGAAACAGGU
rnacentral:rRNA from 1 species